AAAGGAACAGAGAAUGCUGACCCAAACUCAAAAUCGUCAUCAUAUUCUACAGUGCAAGGGGAUAAACUUUUCAAUGGUAAUUGAUUUCCAAAAGUUUGUUUAGAGUUUGGGUCAGCAUUCUCUGUUCCUUUUAAAGUUCUCAUUCUUUUCACAUUUGUUCUUAGCAAAGGCUUAAAUGAGGAAGAUAAUGAAUCUCUCACAGAAUCUCCACUGGGAAGAAAGGGUUGUGGCAAUUUAUGGUGUUGAAACAGCUUCAAAUUUCGGUCCAGAUUUUCCUUAUUGUCAUGUUGGUUCUGAUUUCCUUUUAUGUCCUGCA
rnacentral:misc_RNA from 1 species